CUAAACAAUGCAGAUCCUUCACAAUUCUUCUUCUGCAAAGCACAGUACAAAAUAACACUGUAACUAAGAGCAGAGGGAAGUAAAAGAGUGAGGAAUGUUUUCAUGCAUGCUUUCUGUCAGAUCAGGAUUAUGAGGUUUGUUAUACACAAUUUCUACAUUCUUCAUAUUUCUUGUCAGCUUUUUUUGCUUUCUGAUAUGAAAAUGAAGCUCAUAUUGUUGAAAGAUGUGUCUUUUGUAAUUUUGAAUGAGUUCCAUACUUGCAACAAAAUUGAUUGGUGUUUUUUUUUUUUCUUUCUGUAGUUGUGAGUGAUGUUAUUUAGAAAUUUUCUCUUUUACAUUUCUCUUGAAACUUUACUUUCAUAUUCUGAGAAGUAUGUGUUCAUGCCUGUUCAUUUCCCUGCUGAGAACACCUUGCUCAUACUUUUCUUUUCUUUUGUUGGGUUAAAUAUAUUUUCUGCUAUGAAGCACAGAUAGGACACGGACAUCGGACAUAACAUGGACACUGACACGCCAACACCGCUAAUAAUUUGAGAAAAUCACAUAAUCAAGUACAAUUAUAUAUGUCGGUGUUGGACACGAAACAUGUCCGACACGGGACACGCCUAAUCCGAGGAGUGUCCGUGCUUCAUAGUUUCUGCAAUAUAAAGUACUCUAUGAUCAAGUUUAGUUCAUAAACAAACUGUAUCCAAAUUCAGUCUCAAAUUUUGUGAUUUCAGAGACAAGUCUGAAUAUUUUCAUUAAAAUAACUGAUUUGAAAGCUAAAACAUCAAUGGAAUUUUUUUGUAUGGACUAAACUUGAUAAGAGGGUAUUUUAUACGGAAUAAAAACAUAUUUAACCCUGCUUUGUUGGAAGAAUUAUACAGAAUAUAGAUAAAUGGUUAUGUGUUAAAUCCAGGUUAGAUAGAAGAGAAACAACACCUGCAUUCUGGACACCAAAGCCAAAAUGCAUUUCCACUCCAAUUAUAAUUAUGUUUCAAUACAUAAGAACCAAAAAAGGAAAAGAAUUAUUUAUUCUAUAACCUAUGCACACCAAAAACAAACAAAUAGGCAUCAUAUUUGCCACUGGCUAAUCUUUUUACACUCUUUUUCUUCUCUCUUCUAUCUAUUGUCUCUCUGUUCAUUAUAUGUAGUACGAUUGGCGAUAUGCCGAUGUAUACACACUCAAGAUGAUGACUACUAGUAUCACGCAGCAGGCUCUGUACAAAAAAACAAACAAACCAAUACCAAAUGCUGGAUCGGAGAAAAACAAACCCAGAACGAUAUCAAAGAAAACAAACCAAAGAAUGACACUCUAAGCACGCUAACCUUCGGUGCAAGUAUCAUGAAAGGUAAUAUUCCUAGGGGAGGAAAAAGACACUGUUAAAUAUGUUGAAGGUCCUUAGAAUGUACCUAACAUUCUAAAGGAGGGGUAGGCCUAUUAAAAUUUUAGGCGGAACAAAAUUGCAAUCUUUCUCAAACCAGGAUGAGAAGAACUAACAUGCGAGAUGGUCGCAGUGAGGAGAUAUAAAUAACUUUUUUUUCUUCAGAUGAAUGAAAUAUUCAUAUUAACUUUGUAGCAGGGCUCUUUUGCAGAGUGGCGGUUGUGAGGGGUUGGCGAUUGGGUUGAGGGAUGGAGAAUCCAUUCCAAGUGUUUUCAUAAGGAAGUUCCUUUCCUGAAAAAAUAAAAAUAAGAAAUGUCAGGGAAAGAAGAAAAUAUAGUUACCCUUGUUUAAAAGACCUAAAUUUGCAUUGCAUGAGUGUUGGAAGUAAUCAGUAUAUUUUCCUUAUAAAAUUUAAGGGUCUGUUUGGUUUCAAUGUUUUAUGUUUUCGCUUUUAAUUACAAAAUUGUUAUCUUGUUUUCAAUUGGUUCCUGUUUAGUUACAUGAUAUACUAUAUAUGUGUUGUAUUGUUAACAAGUUAGUUCUUAUCAUAAAACCUAUGCAGUUACAUAACUAUCUUCCCCUUCACACCAUUUAUGUGUUGUCUGUCCCAGCUCAUGUUUAUGAUGAUAUAAUUAUGAAUAAACUUCUACCAAGAUUUUACCUGCAUCAACUUGAUUCCCUUAAUCUAAUCCAACGUGGCAAUUAUGUUAAUCACGGUAAUUUUUAUGAUGAAAUCUUAAGCUCAAUGCAUAGGCUCCAGGUAUUUACCAAAUUAUUACUAUUUUCACCACUAACUACUGCUGAAGUAUCCCCACGACAACUACUGAAGUUGAUCUAAUAACAAAACAUUUUGAAAGUUUUGCUGCUGAAUGCUGGAUUAAGGUUAAUGUCAAUGUUGUCAAUUGCGGAAAAGAGCAGUUUGUUCAAAUUCCACUAUGCUACAGUGUUGUAGCACCACUAUUUAACAAUACUUUGUCCUAAAUAGCGCAUCACGGAAUAAUAGUGAUCUUUUAAACAUCUGCUGUUCUAUAACGCUACUACUUGACAAUGUUGGUUGAUGUCAUAUAAAUGUUGAGAACUACUAAAAGUACUGCCGCUGUUGCAACUUUUAUGCUAGAUAGCUUUGGUCAUAUCCCCAAUUUGUCAUAUUAUUACUAUCAUAAUCAGAAUAUUUAUCACUAUUACUGCUAUAAUUUCACCAUUGAAUUUUAGUUAUUUGAUCUCCAAGGUGCUUAUGUAACUUACACUUUCUGAAAAUUGUGGACUUGGAAUUCCUGCAGCUAAGGAUCUGAACAUAGGGGUAACUUGAAGAGGGGAACUGAACUCUGCACUUGACAAGGAACAAACAAUGCCAUCAUUGUUUAUCUGUUCUUCACAAGAUGAGAAUAUAUCUGCUACAAAAAGAUAAAUAUCUAAUUAGCAAUUCUGAUUCGUUGAGAUUUGAGACGUUAGCAAAUUAGCAUAUAAAAGAUUUUAUCUUUUGAGGAAGUUGAAAUUUUUUGGUCUAAGUAUUAAAAAGUAAAAAAUGAAAACAGUUGAACC
rnacentral:lncRNA from 1 species